UACAAAAUUAUAAUCAGGUAUUGAAAGAAUGAAUUUGAUGAAUUAAUUCCUCCAGCAUUGUGUUUAGUAUAUUCUACCAUCUGUACAAGGAAACGCAAAUCAUUUGUAAUCCAUAAACUGCUAUUAUAGUUUCCUAUGUGUGAUUUAAUAUUGGGGAGAUGUUUGUUUGGAAAUGGCUGCAUGUGCAUUCGAGAUUGCAUAAAAAAACUUAUCGCGAAGCGUACGGAUUUCUUGAAGAAUUCAGUCAGAUGCUAUAUGAAGAAUAACGUCCACGAUCAUAAUCUCGAAAGAGGAUUUGUUUCCGAAUAAAAACUAGUGAUCUUACUGAUUAGUCACAUAUCGAUUAAAAAUUAGAUUUCGUGCUUUAAGAACCCUUUUUAAAAGGGUCCUUUCAUUGGGUGUAAUUUUGUUCAUCCAAAAAAAUUCUCGAUUUCGCUGCCGUACUGCCGUCUCGCCAAAUAUUGGAAUCAACAAUUGCUGUGAAAACCGAAGCCAUCACCAUCCCCAAGUUGACAUCUCCACCAACCCUUAAGUAAGAACUCAGUGAGUGCCGAUGCUGUUCUGAACAUCAGGAAAAUAAAUAAGUACCUGGAUUUU